CUGGCGACGAGUGGCGAACGGGUGAGUAAUGCAUCGGAACGUGCCCAGUCGUGGGGGAUAGCCCGGGGAAACCCGGAUUAAUACCGCAUACGACCUGAGGGUGAAGGCGGGGGACCGAAAGGCCUCGCGCGAUUGGAGCGGCCGAUGUCGGAUUAGGUAGUUGGUGGGGUAAAGGCCUACCAAGCCUGCGAUCCGUAGCUGGUCUGAGAGGACGACCAGCCACACUGGGACUGAGACACGGCCCAGACUCCUACGGGAGGCAGCAGUGGGGAAUUUUGGACAAUGGGGGCAACCCUGAUCCAGCCAUGCCGCGUGCGGGAAGAAGGCCUUCGGGUCGUAAACCGCUUUCAGCAGGAACGAAAAUGACGGUACCUGCAGAAGAAGGUGCGGCCAACUACGUGCCAGCAGCCGCGGUGACACGUAGGCACCAAGCGUUGUCCGGAUUUAUUGGGCGUAAAGAGCUCGUAGGCGGUUCAGCAAGUCGGGUGUGAAAACUCUGGGCUCAACCCAGAGCCUGCACCCGAAACUGCUGUGACUAGAGUUCGGUAGGGGAGCGGGGAAUUCCUAGUGUAGCGGUGAAAUGCGCAGAUAUUAGGAGGAACACCGGUGGCGAAGGCGCCGCUCUGGGCCGAAACUGACGCUGAGGAGCGAAAGCGUGGGUAGCAAACAGGAUUAGAUACCCUGGUAGUCCACGCCGUAAACGUUGGGCACUA
rnacentral:rRNA from 1 species